GUAUUCACUUCAGCAGCACAUACACUAAAACUGGAAUGAUACAGAGAAGAUUAGCAUGGCCCAAGGAUGACACACAAAUUCGUGAAGCGUUCCAUAUUUUU
ensembl:snRNA U6 U6 spliceosomal RNA